rnacentral:lncRNA from 1 species
UGAGGACAUACCAGGAAAGCACCAUUUUUGAAGCCCACGGUGAUCAAAUAUUUAUCCCACAUUUGAAAUCAAAUCUGCUGAUGCCUUAAUCUUGGACUUCCCAGCUUCAGAACUAGACACUUAUGGGACAGUUAAGAGCUUGGCAAGUAUCAGAAGGCCAGGAAAGAGUCUUUCUUCAUUGAAGGUCUCUGAUAAUGCCAGUGGAGUCUUGGAAUAUGGAACUUCCUCUGAAAUAUGAGAAAACCAAGGGAAAGCAGUGAAAUAAGAGAAACUGCCAUGUGUUCUCAAUAACACAAGGAAAGUGAAGUGAAUAUAAAGUGGAACUUGUUAUAAGUGUUUGUAGUUUAUUUGCUCCCCCACCCCAAGGGUCCAAUUGUACUAUUUUCAGAAACAUACCUAAAGCAAAUAUGCUAAAUCUCCAG